rnacentral:misc_RNA from 1 species
AUUGGUUAGAGCGCGCGCUUGAUAAGCGUGAGGUCGGAAGUUCAAGUCUUCCCAGGCCCACCACUUUCAUCGAGUGAGCAUUCGUCUUCUGGUUACGGGGCCAUAGCUCAGCUGGGAGAGCGCGUGCUUUGCAAGCAUGAGGUCGUCGGUUCGAUCCCGUCUGGCUCCACCAGAUGGUUUGAUCACCGAGAUCAUGUACCGUCGUCCGCGAAACAUCACUUCGCAUUCACUAGUCUGGAUAGACAGUGAACUGCGUGUUUUCUGACAUCGUAAAGAGGAGAUCGAUCCGAGUUGGGUCGUGCAGCAUAUCGUUGCGCGGGCCUUCAUUAUCUCCGGAUCAUUUCGGCGCUCGCUUUCAGCCGUGAGGUUGAAUGCGGGUUGUAAAUGAUCCUUUUAGCGAAGCUUGACCGCCUCGCUAUCGGAACGAUCUUACGAAGCAAGCUGGUCUUUCUAGUCAAUGUCCGGCUGUACGUAGCAUUCAUCGAGGGUGCGUGCCGCAAGGCAAUCGUACGGACAACAUUCUGCCGAGUGUGUGGACAUUGAUAAUGAGAGCAAUCAAGUGCCUUAAGGGUGUUCGGUGGAUGCCUUGGCGCUGAGAGGCGAUGAAGGACGUGCUACGCUGCGAUAAGCCGUGGGGAGCUGCGAAGAAGCUUUGAUCCGCGGAUUUCCGAAUG